ACACAUCAAAAUCUCCUUUUACUUUGGGUCCUUUCAAAUCCAGGUCAACAUCAGGUAUGGAGAUCUUGGGAGCUUUGAUAUUUAUUUCAGGCAUCUUGAACUUGGGGCCCUUUAGUUUCGCAUCUGGACCUUCGAUAUUCACAUCAGGAACAUCAACGUCCACUUUGGGUCCUGAGACAUCAAUGUCAGCCUUGGGCAGGUUCACAUCCACAUCUGGGCCCUCUCCUUUGAAGCCAGGCAUGCUGAACUUGGGCAUUUUCACCUUGGGCAUCUUCAGGUGCCAAUCUGGGCCAUGAACAUCCACAUCUGGAGCACUAAUGUCAACUUUGGGCCCUUUAAUGUCAACAUCUGGCACUUUCAUUUCACCUUCUACCUC
rnacentral:lncRNA from 1 species